rnacentral:rRNA from 1 species
AUUGAACGCUGGCGGCAGGCUUAACACAUGCAAGUCGAGCGGGGUGAUGGUGCUUGCACUAUCACUUAGCGGCGGACGGGUGAGUAAUGCUUAGGAAUCUGCCUAUUAGUGGGGGACAACAUCUCGAAAGGGAUGCUAAUACCGCGUACGUCCUACGGGAGAAAGCAGGGGAUCACUUGUGACCUUGCGCUAAUAGAUGAGCCUAAGUCGGAUUAGCUAGUUGGUGGGGUAAAGGCCUACCAAGGCGACGAUCUGUAGCGGGUCUGAGAGGAUGAUCGGCCACACUGGGACUGAGAGACGGCCCAGACGACUGCGGGAGGAAGCAGUGGGGAAUGUUGGGAAAUGGGGGGAACGCUGAUCCAGCCAUGCCGGGUGUGUGAAGAAGGCCUUAUGGUUGUAAAGCACUUUAAGCGAGGAGGAGGCUCUUUUGGUUAAUACCCAAGAUGAGUGGACGUUACUCGCAGAAUAAGCACCGGCUAACUCUGUGCCAGCCGCCGCAGUAA